AAGAGCUGAAUAUGAUGCGCAUAUCCUUGAUAAGGGUAACAAGACUAUCAGAAGACCUCAGAAUGAAUUCUUGUUCAAGUUGUUUUUCAGGCAGUCCCUGACCUCUACAUCUUAGACCUCAGCAUAAAGGACAACAAAGAAUGUCAGGAAAUGGCAAAUGACAAGACCUGCCAGCUACCAGCUUGAGAGAAGUCAGGGACCUGCAGGAUGUCAUUCCAGGCAUGCUGGUGAGGGAAAAAAAAAAGUGCUUUGCCGAAUCCCAAAGGAGAUGUACUUUACUAGUCACAGUUUACCGAUGAAGUAAUGGAGACUCAAAAACCUCAACCGCAGAAGUUCAUCUAAAAACUCUUUGAUCUA